CACGGAUUCGCAGCACCUUGGCAGAGGCACCCCAACUAGUGCCCGCAAGACGUCGGAUUAGUGAGACCCUUGAAGAUCUGUUGGCCGUCACCUCUUCAAGAUGUUGUUUGAAGGAGAAUGUUCUGUCCACACGUACACCAAGGUUUCAACCUGGCCGGGAGGAAAAGCGAGAGAAAUAUCAUUGGACCACUGACUAAAGUCCCAGUUUACGUGUGCAGGUGGAGACUGCUGCGACGGGAGACUUGCGUCGCGUUGUGAAUUUCUCUUGGAGAUAAAUAAAGUAUUUAUCUAUCUUAAGUGACCCCAGCAACUAACCGGAACUACGGAAUCCGACUAGAACUCGGCUC